rnacentral:tRNA from 1 species
GGGUGGUUAGCUCAGCGGUAGAGUACUGCGCUCACAUCGCAGGGGUCACAGGUUCAAAUCCUGUACCACCCA